rnacentral:tRNA from 1 species
GAGGGUAUGGUUCAGUGAUAGAGCAUGUGCUUUGCAUGCACGACGUCCUGGGUUCAAUCCCCAGUACCGCCA